GACAGAGGGUGCAAACGUUGUUCGGAAUUACUGGGCGUAAAGCGAGUGUAGGCGGUGUGGUAAGUCGGAUGUGAAAGCCCCGGGCUCAACCCGGGAAGUGCACUCGAUACUGCCACGCUAGAGUAUCGGAGAGGUUGGUGGAAUUCUCGGUGUAGAGGUGAAAUUCGUAGAUAUUCGCAAGAACACCAGUGGCGAAGGCGGCUCACUGGCCCGGUACUGACGCUGAGGUGCGAAAGCGUGGGGAGCAAACAGG
rnacentral:rRNA from 1 species